CCGCUCUCAGCAACAGCUCUCGCUCGCUCGCGCUCUCUCUCUCUCUCUCUCUCUCUUUCUCUCUCUCACAGUGUACCUAUGUUAAAAUAAACUCUGCGUUUAAGCUUAAAGUGGUACUUUGCAAUUCUUUGCUUACUGGAACCGAGAUUGCUGGUCCUGGCCUUCCGUUGACCUCCUCUGUUGAAGCUAUUUUGUUACAACGCACGUCCACUCGGUGACAAAAUUUCUGCUAAGCCUGAAGUGUGUUUCCAGUCUUCUUUAUUUUAUCUCAGUUCUGAAGCUUACUUAAAACAUGCAUUCAAAGAAAUACUUGGGACGCAUGACUUCUGGAAUCGUGGCCUGAGGAAUUCUGUGGACCCUCACCCAACUGAAACAAACGUUAACUGAUUCAACCUCAGUCAUAUUCCAAAAGAUGGAAAAAUAAUGAAGACACUCUUGCUGCCACGUGAACUAUGUUCUAUGACUCCAGAUCUAAGGGAUUUAUCCUCCUCCACAGUGCCUAUAAUAUCUUGAGGGAAAAGAGACAAACUGAUUCCUUAAUUCAAGAAAGUUGGCAAACUUCAUCACGAGCCUAUAUAUGCGUCUCAAGAGUUGGGGAAGGUGGAACAGUUUCUGUUAAGCUGCUGCUCUAUGCCAACGAGGGUCUUCUCCUGGUGUGUCCUGCGAAGUUUUCUGAAGCCCUACUCUUUUUGGUUUGAAUUGAGCAAUCUGACCUUAGCGCUGGAACCCCAAAACACUCCACCUGUAGACCCUGAUAAAGGCAUUUGUUCUAGGUCCUGUCUCCCACUCUGCCUGCACCCUGCCUUCACCUACCCUUGUGGCCUCUCAAGGCGUGUUGUGUACUUCCUCCAGGACCUGUGAGCAAUAAACAUCUCUAUUUCAA